rnacentral:rRNA from 1 species
AGAGUUUGAUCCUGGCUCAGGAUGAACGCUGGCGGCGUGCCUAACACAUGCAAGUCGAGCGAUUCUCUUCGGAGAAGAGCGGCGGACGGGUGAGUAACGCGUGGGUAACCUGCCCUGUACACACGGAUAACAUACCGAAAGGUAUGCUAAUACGGGAUAAUAUAAGAAAUUCGCAUGUUUUUCUUAUCAAAGCUCCGGCGGUACAGGAUGGACCCGCGUCUGAUUAGCUAGUUGGUGAGGUAACGGCUCACCAAGGCGACGAUCAGUAGCCGACCUGAGAGGGUGAUCGGCCACAUUGGAACUGAGACACGGUCCAAACUCCUACGGGAGGCAGCAGUGGGGAAUAUUGCACAAUGGGCGAAAGCCUGAUGCAGCAACGCCGCGUGAGCGAUGAAGGCCUUCGGGUCGUAAAGCUCUGUCCUCAAGGAAGAUAAUGACGGUACUUGAGGAGGAAGCCCCGGCUAACUACGUGCCAGCAGCCGCGGUAAUACGUAGGGGGCUAGCGUUAUCCGGAUUUGCUGGGCGUAAAGGGUGCGUAGGCGUUCUUUUAAGUCAGGAGUGAAAGGCUACGGCUCAACCGUGGUAAGCUCUUGAAACUGGAGGACUUGAGUGCAGGAGAGGAGAGUGGAAUUCCUAGUGUAGCGGUGAAAUGCGUAGAUAUUAGGAGGAACACCAGUAGCGAAGGCGGCUCUCUGGACUGUAACUGACGCUGAGGCACGAAAGCGUGGGGAGCAAACAGGAUUAGAUACCCUGGUAGUCCACGCCGUAAACGAUGAGUACUAGCUGUCGGAGGUUACCCCCUUCGGUGGCGCAGCUAACGCAUUAAGUACUCCGCCUGGGGAGUACGCUCGCAAGAAUGAAACUCAAAGGAAUUGACGGGGACCCGCACAAGUAGCGGAGCAUGUGGUUUAAUUCGAAGCAACGCGAAGAACCUUACCUAAGCUUGACAUCCUUUUGACCGAUGCCUAAUCGCAUCUUUCCCUUCGGGGACAGAAGUGACAGGUGGUGCAUGGUUGUCGUCAGCUCGUGUCGUGAGAUGUUGGGUUAAGUCCCGCAACGAGCGCAACCCUUGCCUUUAGUUGCCAUCAUUAAGUUGGGCACUCUAGAGGGACUGCCAGGGAUAACCUGGAGGAAGGUGGGGAUGACGUCAAAUCAUCAUGCCCCUUAUGCUUAGGGCUACACACGUGCUACAAUGGGUGGUACAGAGGGCAGCGAAGUCGUGAGGCCAAGCUAAUCCCUUAAAGCCAUUCUCAGUUCGGAUUGUAGGCUGAAACUCGCCUACAUGAAGCUGGAGUUACUAGUAAUCGCAGAUCAGAAUGCUGCGGUGAAUGCGUUCCCGGGUCUUGUACACACCGCCCGUCACACCAUGGGAGUUGGGGGCGCCCGAAGCCGGCUAGC